AUGAUCAUCUUCAGUGUAGUGGCAGGAUUUCCUCGAUUGAUACCUUUCAUCUGUGGAAUUCACAACAAUGCAAUAAUCCUCCUAACAGCUUUUGUAGUUCUGAGAGCCUGGACACACCAGUUGGUGAGGCCACCCUGGCUCCUCAUUCCCAGGAAUGUCAGUGCCUGCAGGGAUUUUGGAUCUUCAGUGUUCUCUGUUCAUCUGGAGAAGGGUGAGCAGAGCCCCCAGAAUGGGAAGCCAGGAGCCAGGAUACCUAUAAGCCCCAAAAGGGCUGCCCACACUGUGCUACUUGAAGAGAAGACAGGAAAGAAUUGAGCAACCCAAACCUAAAGGAUUCUAAGUGUUCAUCUGCAAAGAGGAGUUUUGAUUGUCAUCUGAAUGAGGGUCUGGAGUCAGCCUAUAUCCAGUGGUGGGUUCAGAGUAGAUUGAAAUAAAGUUCUUCCAGAUUGGAAGUUCUCA
rnacentral:lncRNA from 1 species